UGGGGAAUAUUGCACAAUGGGCGCAAGCCUGAUGCAGCGACGCCGCGUGGGGGAUGACGGCCUUCGGGUUGUAAACCUCUUUCGACAGGGACGAAGCUUUGGUGACGGUACCUGUAUAAGAAGCACCGGCUAACUACGUGCCAGCAGCCGCGGUAAUACGUAGGGUGCGAGCGUUGUCCGGAAUUACUGGGCGUAAAGAGCUCGUAGGUGGUUUGUCGCGUCGUCUGUGAAAUUCCGGGGCUUAACUUCGGGCGUGCAGGCGAUACGGGCAUAACUUGAGUGCUGUAGGGGAGACUGGAAUUCCUGGUGUAGCGGUGGAAUGCGCAGAUAUCAGGAGGAACACCGAUGGCGAAGGCAGGUCUCUGGGCAGUAACUGACGCUGAGGAGCGAAAGCAUGGGGAGCGAACAGG
rnacentral:rRNA from 3 species